CGGCAGCGCGCCCCCCUCGCCCCGCGAGCCCAGGCCCCCGCCCCGGGCCAGCCGCCCCGCGUCGCCCCGCAGGAAGUUCAUGAGCACGGUCUCCGCCAUGUCGUCGGCGUUGUGGCCUGGGGGAGAGAGACGGGGAGCCGUCUCAGUUGAAGGUGUUCGUCACACGGCACCGGAGAAGUCAAAGCGGCCGCUAACGGUCAGUGGAGGUUGUCAAGUAGGCUGCUGUCCCAGUGCCGGGGAAUGCGGAUCACCGCGUGCAGGAAGGCCAGCGAGAGCUUCAGUAUUUACUCAACAGUCACCAUAAACGUCACCUAAACGUCUACCUAUUCUGCAUCUUGUCGUCUUAUACUUGGGUCUGUCUGGUCCGACAGACACUGGUCUUCUUGGGGCUUCUCCAGUCGGCCACCCUUCCCCUCCUCAGGGCCUUUGCACCAGCCACCUCCUCUGCUCAGACCCCAACAACUGGGUCUGCCCUUCACUGGUUACUCAGGCGGCCUUCAGGUCAGGCUCACUCAGGAACCACUUCCUAACUCCAGGCUUCCCCCUUCACUGGGUCCUCCUGUUAUAAACUGGCAAAGUCUGUGUGAUUUUUCCUUAGCAGCACUUACCGGGUUAUAAUUAUGGACAUGAUGGGAGGGCAGGGGCAGAGGCUGUCUUGGGCAGCAUCAGGACGCAAACAUCUCUGUGAGGCCUGCUGUUUGCCAGUCUCUGGUCUAAGUGCCUCACACAGCACUCACUUUAUUCCCAACGACCCUGGGACCUCGAUAUUAUUAAUAACCCCGUUUUACAGAUGAGGUAACCGAGGUUAGGUGUUGCUCGAGGCUACAAAGCGUCUGGUACAGAGGAGAUGGUCAACAAUCACGUGUUGAAGCAACGGUUGGGAGAGAGUAAGUUCUCAAGUUCUCAGAGAGAAGAGGCCGACAGAGAAGGGGGGGGGGUCUAAAGAGUUGCGUUUCAGACUACAGAUGGCUUCUGAUGGGUGGUGUCACUUCACUCGCCUCCUUUUGUGAAGGGACACAGAGAAUGUCAUUUUGAAAACUGCAGGGAACACAGCCCCAACCCCCGGAGAGCACCCCUGCACCCCUCCACGGCCAAAGCGAAGGCAGUGACUCAAAGCUUGCCGCGCCCAGCCCCGGCGCGCGCACACUCUGCCCACGCACCUUCAGCGGACGUGCGCACCCCCUUCUCGUGGAGAUCCCCCACUGCGGGCACCCCCGGCGUCUCCUUCACCCCUUGCUGGGCACGCGCCCAGCCCCCUUGCAGCGCCCGCCCCGCGCCCCUCGGCUGCGGCGCCAGCGCUCACCCGUCACGAUGUGCGUGGCUCCCACGAGGCGCGCCCCUUCCUCCAGCGCGCGGCGCCGCAGGACCCCGCAGAAGGUGCAGCAGGCGCGGCUGCGGCCGGAGCCGGCCGUGCUGCGGGCCACGGCGUCCAUUGUCCAGCCCCCGAAGAGGUCGGCGUAGGCCACGACGGUGAGCGGGAGGUCCCAGCGCGCCGCCUGGCGCCGCACGGCCGCCAGCGCCGCGUCCCGGUAGCCGCCGAUGCCCUCGUCCACGGCCACCAGGCGCAGCGAGACGCCCAGGCGCGGCGCCAGCUCGCGCAGCACGUGCGCCAGCACCGUGGAGUCCUUGCCGCCGGAGGCGCCCACGGCCACCACGGCGCCGGGCGGCAGCAGGCGGCCCGCCAGCACCGUGUGCAGCACCUCGGCCUCGAAGGCGGCGCAGAAGCAGGCGCCGCACAGCGCUUGGCCGGAGCGCGGGCGGCGGAGGGCGGCCCGCGCCGCGUGGCAGGAGGCGCACUGCGGGGCGGGCAUCGUGGGUUCCGGGCGGGCGGGCGGGGAGGAGUUGGCUGCCCCUGGACAGGGAGAGAGGGGAGGCAGGUUACGUGCGGAUUCCGGAUUGCGGGGUCGAUGCCUCUGGGAAGCCUGCCUGAAUAGCGCCCAGAGUGCAUAUACCCAUUGCCUGGAACCCUCUCCCAGCACAUGUGCAGGAUUGGCACCUUCAAGUCUCAGCGUAAGCUUUUCAUCAUUCAUUCCUUCAUUCGACAGGUAUCCAUUCAUUGCCUCCCAUCUACCCAAAAUGCGUUCGAUACUGGAACAGCAGUGAACAAAAUAGGAAAGGUUGCAGGCACGACGUUCUAGGGGAGGAGCCAACCCAUGAUAAGUAAAUAACCAAGACACUUGACAAAUAUAAGGAGUAAUAUGAGGGAAUUAUCCUCUGAACUGGGGCCAGAAGGAUGAGAAGGAGUCAGGCAAUUAGAUCAGGGUGGGAAGAAUGUUCCAGAUAGUUAAUAGCAAAGGCAAAGGACCUGAAGGGAAGGGCCUAUAUUCAGUUGUUUGGAAAGUGAGUUAUGGGUGAGGACAAGAGAAGAUCGGGGACUUGGAGGUUGGCAGGGUGAAAAGGUUGGAUUUUAUUCUGAAUCAGCUGAGAACCGUUAGAUGGUUGAAAGCUGUGGAGUGAUAGGAUGUGAUUUAUAUUUUGACAGGAUGCCUCAGGCUGCUGCGUGGGAACAGAGAGUGGAGUGGCGCGGGGCAGACACCGGUAGACCAGUGAGGAGGCUCCUACAAUGGUCCAGAUGAGCCGUAAUGUGGCUAAGGGCUGAGUAGAGGCAGUGGAGAGAAGUGGUCAGAUUCUGGAUCUCUUCUGGAAAUAGAGUAGGUUGGACUCACACGAGACUUGGUUGAACGAGGCAACAGAUGAGAGAAACAGAGGACUGACGACUUCAAGGUUCUGCCUUCAGCACUUGCAAGGAUAGUGGGACCAUUUCAUGGGGAGGACGUGGGAAAGAAGGAAGAAUAGGGGAAUAUUGCGAAAGGUGUAGGUUUAGUCCAGAGAACCUGUAACUUUGUUUGGGCAUGGUAAUUUGGAGGUCCUUUGUUUGCUCUGAAGUCUUUCCUGAAACCUGAUCUGGGUCUGGCGCCUCCUCUGGGCUCUCAUGGCCGCCUGACACCCCCCCGGGCCAGCCCUGAUCACUCUAGAUUGUAACCAGGGCAGAGGAGGCUGCGUUCGAACCGCCCUCAGGUUGAGGGUGGAAGCUAGGAAUCAGAACCUAGACAGGCUCCAAAGCGGGUCAGCAGGGGCACCGGACACAGGCGUUGGAGGAUCGCGGAGAGCGGUGCCAUCUCUCCAGGGAUGCCUACCGGAAUGCGUGGGAAGGUAAGAUGGAGACCCUCAACUCCUACACCGCAGCACGACGAAGAGCGGAGAUCGGCCCGCUGAGGAGGGGAAACUCACGUGAGUAGAACCCGCGCUGGGAAGUCCAGGCUCCGAGAAAACGCGGAAGCCUGUGGAGGGACUACGAUUCCCAGAAGGCUUUGGGUUUACCCGCCUACGACUCCCAGGUGCCGGCGCGGCGGCUUGGCCCGCAUCGCCUUCAGCUGCGAGACCAGCUGGGCACACACGCUGCCAACCUCGCCGUGACGUCACGCUCUCCGCCCAAGGCUCCCAGAGUGCUCCCGGCCAGGCCGGCACGUCUCCCGUCUGCGCCUGCGCAAAAACAGGCCUUCCCACACUGAGGACACGCAUAGGGCGUCUCUCCCGUGUGAAUUCGCCGGUGCACUUGGAGCUGUGGUUUCUUACUGAAGGAUUUCCCGCAGUCCCCGCAUUCGUGAGGCCUCUGUCCGACGUGAGUUCUCCGAUGUGCCAUCAGCUCUGAUUUCUGGCCAAAGGCGGUCCCGCAUGUGUGGCAGGCAAAGGUCUUCCCUCUCGUGUGAGUCAUCUGAUGUUUGUGGAAAUUGGACCUGCCGUUGAAAGCCUUCCCACACUCGGCGCACACGUAGGGUUUCUCACCCGUGUGGACCCGCUGGUGCUCUCUGAACUGUGACUUGGAGGUGAAGGCUCUCCCGCAGUCGCUGCACUUGUAGGGCUUCUCUCCAGUGUGGGUGCGCUGGUGCAUGUUGAGGAUGGACUUCUGGGUGAAGGCCUUGCCGCAGUCACGGCACACAUGCUGUCUCUCUCCCGUGUGGAUCUUCCGGUGCAUGUUGAGGUGUGACUUCUGCGUGAAGGCUUUUGCACAGUCACGGCACUCGUACGGCUUCUCGCCGGUGUGGAUGCGGCGAUGUAUGUCGAGCUGCGACUUGCAAAUGAAGGCUCUCCCGCAGUCGCUGCACUUGUAGGGCUUCUCUCCGGUGUGGCUUCUCUGAUGCACGGUCAGGUGGGCCUUCUGCACGAAGGCCUGGCCGCACGCGAGGCACGCGUAGGCCUUCUCCCCCGAGUGGAUCCUCCGGUGCAGGCUGAGCGCGGACUUCUGGGUGAAGGCCUUCCCACACUCGCCGCACGCAUACUGCCGCUCGCCGGCGUGGAUUUUCUGAUGGAUGGCAAGGGUGGACUUCUGGGAGAAGCCUUUCCCACACUCGCCGCACUCGUAGAGCUUCCCUCGAGUGUGGGUUCUCUGGUGUCUGAAGAGAGAUAAUGCCUGGAAAAAGGCUUUUCCACAUUCCUGGCAUUUGUGGGGCUUCUGUCUGGCGUGGCUUUUCUGGUGUGUCGUCAGUUCCGACCUCUGAGCGAAGACUUUCCCGCACUCCUUACAUAUGUACGGAACGUGUCCUGCAUGAGCGGGCAGAUACGCGCCGAGGUCUGGCCACAGGGCAAGGCUCGUCGUGCAUUUCCCGCUCUCCUGGAGGUUUUCCACGCUGUGGAAUCUCUGCUGCUCGAGGGGUGGCUUCUGGCCGAAGCCCCUGCCACAUUCGGCACAUUUAUCGGGUUUCUCCCAGGUAUGAACUCGAUGUUGUGCGUGUGGCGGUUUACGGCUGCCGACUUUCAUAUGUGGAUUCCCUUCACACAGGUUCUCUCCUGGACGAACGUUCUCGUAGCCAGGACCGGAAGGGCUAUGGGGGAGUAGCCGGCCAGAGCCGACAGUCCCAUCGAGGUGUUCUGUGCCGUCGCUUUGCUUUUGAGGACUUCCUUCUAGGUUGGGCUUCAAACUUUUCGCAAAUGAGCCACGUUUAGGAGGUCUUUUUUGUGGAGAAACAAGAUGGGGCCUCACAGGAGCGAUUUUUCCCGGGUCUUUACACCCGCGGUCUCUCUCUGUAUCCGGUGUUUCCCUACUGAGGAGAGCCCCGUGCCGCGAAGGUUUCCCUUGCUUCUGCAGACCCCUCGUUGUGGGGUUCACAUCUCCCAAGACGGAGCACCCUGACCCGCCUCCCGGGGCCGCAAGUUCCUUACCGUCGCGAAACGAAGCUUUUUCAAAAAUUUUCUGUCGUGAGGUUUUGAGUCCAAACUCCCCUUCUAGAAGGAGAAAAAGAUGAAGAGGUAGGCACAAGUUAACAGAGGAAGGAGGACACGUCAGAGGAGCGGAUGGAGACCGAACACAGAAAUUGCAAGUCGCAGGAUAAUGACGGGGGCGAGGCUGGUGAUGACGAGGAAACAGCCACAGACUUUACUGCGUGUCAGCCUGUCUGCGGACAGCACGACCGCGUGCCAGACCGUGCGACAUCGUGCCACAGAAACUCCUUCAACCCUCACACCCCUCCAUGCGUAACGGCACUUACUACCCCUGUCUCACGGAGGAGGAGGUGCAGCAUAAGGAACUGACCACAGUCACCUCGCUGAGCUCUGGCGGGAGUCAGAUUCAAACAAGGGCAGCCUGGCUCCACUUCCGCGGGCAGACGGUCCAGAGACCCACAGAUACGCACACCUAUGGACGACUCCAGGAAACACGGACACGGGCAGCAUGGGGCAACGGCCGGGGCGGGCCGGAGGGGCUCGGCGGCCAGCUCUUCGUUAGCUUUCGGAUCUAAGUCGUGACUCAUCCCCCAUCUCCCCCCGCUUGUCAGAAGGUGGAUUUGGUGAGUCCACCCGCCCUACGUGUCGUCUGCAAAACGGAGACGGCACCAGCCCUGACAUGGCCAAGCAGCAAGAGGGUACCGCUGCCCAAAGGCAACUCUCCAGGAAGCUGAAAUCUGUUUGCUUGAACCUAGAAAUGAACUUACAACCCAGGAAAGGAACACUGGAAGAGUGGACAAGCAAGCUGUCCCCCGAAAUCUGUGUCACCGUCUUUCAUAGAAGUUAACCGUGACCAGGUACGUGCCUGCCAAGCUACGUAACCGUUCUCAACGUCCUUUGUGAUGAGAUGUGACCGGGAGACAGUUUUGGCUGAUGGAAUACGCAUACGACAUGAUGCACCAAUUCCGGCCCCGGGGGGAAAGACCACAGCUUCUCGAUACCCCGCACCCCCCUUCUGCCUCACAGAACCUGCCUUGGGAUGCAGUGCACAUUCAGUUGCGCACAUCGACAGAAAAACUGAGAGCUUUCCCCCGAGAUCAGGGACGCGACAGGGAUGUCCACUCUCACUGUUGCUGUUUAACAUAGUGUUGGAAGUCCGAGCCUCAGCAAUCAGACAACAAGACAAAAUAUUAGGCAUCCAACUUGGCAAAGAAGUCAAACUUGCACUCUUCACGGAUGACAGGACACUCUACGUGGAAAACCCAAAAGACUCCACCAGUCAUGCACAUGGACAGUGUAAUAAAGCACAGUGCAACAGCUAGGGAAAACCUUAAACACCCGGAGAAUACAAGAAGUGAGGCUUCCUGCUCAACUGCCUUUUGAACUUUUUACAGGAGAGAAAAGUAUUCUAGAAAUUACUAAACUGAACCUUGGUCUCUUUGUAGAACUUUCAGCCUUAUGCUAACCUAAUGUAUCGUUUUUUAUCCACCAAGAACAGGAGUCAUCGCUCAUUCAGUUGACUAGUAUAGAACACAAGAUGCAAGAGAUGCUGAACAGAAAAGGAAGGAGCGCCUGGGUGGCUCAGUCACUUACGUGUCCAACUUCGGCUCAGGUCAUGAUCUCAUGGUUUGUGAGUUCAAGCCCCGCGUCAGGCUCUGUGCUGACAGCUCAGAGCCUGGAGCCUGCUUCGGAUUCUGUGUCUCCCUCUCUCUCUGCCCCUUCCCUACUCGUGCUCUCUCUCUCUC